rnacentral:tRNA from 1 species
GGUGGGGUGUCGGAGUGGCUGAAGGAGCACGCCUGGAAAGUGUGUAUACGGCAACGUAUCGGGGGUUCAAUCCCCCCCUCACCGCCA